UACGGGGGGGGCAAGCGUUGAUCGGAAUUACUGGGCGUAAAGGGCUCGUAGGCGGCCAACUAAGUCCGACGUGAAAUCCCCAGGCUUAACCUGGGAACUGCGUCGGAUACUGGAUGGCUUGAAUCCGGGAGAGGGAUGCGGAAUUCCAGGUGUAGCGGUGAAAUGCGUAGAUAUCUGGAGGAACACCGGUGGCGAAGGCGGCAUCCUGGACCGGAAUUGACGCUGAGGAGCGAAAGCCAGGGGAGCAAACGGG
rnacentral:rRNA from 1 species